rnacentral:rRNA from 1 species
UACGUAGGGGGCAAGCGUUGUCCGGAUUUAUUGGGCGUAAAGAGCGUGUAGGCGGCCAGAUAGGUCUGCUGUGAAAACUCGAGGCUCAACCUCGAGAUGUCGGCGGAAACCAUUUGGCUAGAGUCCGGAAGAGGAAAGUGGAAUUCCUGGUGUAGCGGUGAAAUGCGCAGAUAUCAGGAAGAACACCUAUGGCGAAGGCAGCUCUCUGGGACGGUACUGACGCUGAGACGCGAAAGCGUGGGGAGCGAACAGG